GACGAACGCUGGCGGCGUGCUUAACACAUGCAAGUCGAACGGUGAAGCGCCUUCCUUUUUGGUGGGUGUGGUUGCGUGGCGGACGGGUGCGUAACACGUGAGUACCCUGCACUUUUCUUUUGGAUAACCGCAUGAAAGCGUGUCUAAUACAGGAUCUUCUGGGUCUGUCGCAUGUUGGGUCUGUGUCAGAUAUUGUUUCGGUGGGGGAUGCGCUUGGGGGUUAUCGGCUUGUAGGUGGGGUGAUGGCCUACCAAGGCGUUGACGGGUAGCCGGCCUGACAGGGUGUGCGGCAACAUCGGGACUCAGAUAGGGCGCAGACUCCGACGGGAGGCAGCAGUGGGGAAAAUUGUACAAUGGGCGCAAGGCGGAUGGAGCGACGCCGUGUGGGGGAUGACGGCCUUCGGGCUGUAAACCGGUUUCGCCUGGGACGAAGCGGGAGUGACGGUAGCUGGAAAAGAAGCACCGGCUAACUACGUG
rnacentral:rRNA from 1 species